GUUUCCGCUGACUCUUAAUGGAAGAAUUCUUCAGAGCUGGCCAGCGGUUCACACCUACAGAAACACACACAAUCACUCUCUCUGUCUGGGAAAUACACACCUACUGUGAUUACCUGGAACAGUAAUGGCUGACCAGUUGUCAUCACACCAUGCUGCUGUUAUAAAUGUAGGAGCAGUAUGAGGGAUGAGUCGAGCUGUCUGUGUGGAGUGAUGCGGGCAGGGCGGCCCGGCUGCUGACUCCACUCUAAUGACAGAGCGGGUAAUGACAGAGACCCAAACAGCAGGAAGAGGAAGAUCAAUCUACAGCCCGAGAUAGAGAGAUGGAAGAGAUGGGAGGGACGCAGCGCAAACACACACACACACACACACACACACACACACACACACAUAAAAACAGGGCAGUGAGAUUUCUAUUACAUUCUCUCUCUCUGUGCGUUAGGCUUGUCUGUGAGUGUGUCUGCCUCUACACCCCCCACCACCCCCCACCAAGCCUUCCUGUGGCAGUCGACCCACGCUGCACAUUAAAAACACAGUGGAUCAAUAACUAUUAACACUUCUCAGCAGAGUAACAGUGCUCACAUCUCCUCUCUCCCUCCAUUCCUGCUUCGGUUUCUAUUUCUCUCUGUCCAUGACACUAGUGCUGCUCCGGGGCUGGUGGGAGCAUGCCUGGGUUCAGUGGGAAUUGAGAAACAGAGGGUAGGAAGGACAGAAUAAUGGGAGGGGUGAAAUUAAAUGAGGUGAGUUACUAACAAGCUGCCUGAGCAAACAGCACACAUUCCUCUUUCUCAAUCUGCUGUUUUUCCUGUCGCUAUACUACUGGUCAUGCAAAACAAAAAAACAAGGCCCAUCAAAGCAAAUCUGCAUACAGUGGGCUCCAAAAGUCUGAGAAAACAUUGAAAAUCUGGGAUUUUUCUUAAAAUGUACAAAUAAAUAAAAAGCUUUAGGAUUUUGAAAAAUGUAAAACAAAGAUGAAAAAUGUAAGAUUUUACACAAUUUCUAGGUUAAAAAUGUCAUUUGUACAAAAGGUCAGAUUUCAUUGCUUUCAUUUAAAGCACACAAGAUUCUCUUUGGAGCAUUCUCAAAUCAUGCUGGAUAACAUGAUCACAAACUUGUGGAGUCCAUGCCAGCUCGAGUGUAUGCUGUCUUUAAAGCAAAA